rnacentral:snRNA from 1 species
GUGCUUGCUUCUGCAGCACAUAUACUAAAAUUGGAAGGAUACAGAAAAGAUUAGCAUGGCCCCUGUGCAGGGAUGACAUGCAAAUUAGUGAAGCCUUCCAUAAUUUU